rnacentral:rRNA from 1 species
GACGAACGCUGGCGGCGUGCCUAAUACAUGCAAGUCGAGCGAACAGACGAGGAGCUUGCUCCUCUGACGUUAGCGGCGGACGGUUGAGUAACACGUGGAUAACCUACCUAUAAGACUGGGAUAACUUCGGGAAACCGGCGCUAAUACCGGAUAAUAUAUUGAACCCCAUGGUUCAAUAGUGAAAGACGGUUGUGCUGUCCCUUAUAGAUGUAUCCGCGCCGCAUUAGCUAGUUGGUAAGGUAACGGCUUACCAAGGCAACGAUGCGUAGCCGACCUGAGAGGGUGAUCGGCCACAAUGGAACUGAGACACGGUCCAGACUCCUACGGGAGGCAGCAGUAGGGAAUCUUCCGCAAUGGGCGAAAGCCUGACGGAGCAACGCCGCGUGAGUGAUGAAGGUCUUCGGAUCGUAAAACUCUGUUAUUAGGGAAGAACAAAUGUGUAAGUAACUAUGCACGUCUUGACGGUACCUAAUCAGAAAGCCAUGGCUAACUACGUGCCAGCAGCAGCCGCCGUAA